rnacentral:rRNA from 1 species
AGCCAGACUCCUACGGGAGGCAGCAGUGGGGAAUAUUGCACAAUGGGGGAAACCCUGAUGCAGCGACGCCGCGUGAGUGAAGAAGUAUUUCGGUAUGUAAAGCUCUAUCAGCAGGGAAGAAAAUGACGGUACCUGACUAAGAAGCCCCGGCUAACUACGUGCCAGCAGCCGCGGUAAUACGUAGGGGGCAAGCGUUAUCCGGAUUUACUGGGUGUAAAGGGAGCGUAGACGGCAUGGCAAGUCAGAUGUGAAAGCCCGGGGCUCAACCCCGGGACUGCAUUUGAAACUGUCAGGCUGGAGUGCAGGAGAGGUAAGUGGAAUUCCUAGUGUAGCGGUGAAAUGCGUAGAUAUUAGGAGGAACACCAGUGGCGAAGGCGGCUUACUGGACUGUAACUGACGUUGAGGCUCGAAAGCGUGGGGAGCAAACAGGAUUAGAUACCCCGGUACA